UCCGGUCCCUUCCCUGCCAGCUCCUGCUGCGCGCCCUGUGCGCGCUCCUGCCCUCCUCGUGCGCCGUCCGGUAAUCCAACCUCCACGAGCAGUGGUUCGUUACUCGUUUUCUCUCCCCAUCAAAAAACUCUCCAGUCUCUCAUCAACUCCAAGACAAGAUCAGAUUACAAUCUAGUACAUCUAACAAUCACUCCUCUGAGCUGGCACUGACAGUGUAAAUAAAGACUACUUUAUGUUAAAUAUGAAAUCAGCAUAAGCCCUGAACUCUGCAAUGAAAGAUUAGGUGGAUCAUCAAUAACAGUCCACCUGUGCUGACAGAAAUUUUCUGUGCUUUAUUCUUGGAAGUACUCUGUGAAAUCCCAGGAGGGCUGUAUGGAAUACAAUUCCACUUAAAAUGUGGGAAAUCUGGGACAGGAAAGAAACAUCACAGCACAAUCUCACUACACUGCACGGUGGACCUAAGUGAUGGAAUUUCUACACCAAAACAAACAAAAUAAAAAAAAGGCCUCCCAAAAAACGCUCCCCCAGCUGCUCAGAGAUCAGGAAACCCAACCUGUCUUUCAACUUCACAGAAACGGAACGUGCCAUGAAUAGCUUGAUCAGGUCUGAAUCACAGGUUGUCCAGAACUUGUGACUAAAAUAGCUCCAUGAGCUUACCUUCCAAAGGCACAGAGAGCCUGCCUGGCUCCCCACCUUUAUCUGAGAUCAAACUGUUUAUCACAUUCCUUCCUCAUACGUCAGCUCCUUGUGAUGACAGCCAGCCAGUGAUUAAUACAUUUUAUUAGGUUGGUUCCAGUGACUUGAAAUGAAUUUGCCCUGACUCCUCAGGCUCGCUCCCACACCCACUGCCUGGCACUCCAGCCAUGCUAGGAAUGCACAAUAGAAAACAAAUUAUCUUAGGCGAUACCUCAUAAAUCUAUAGCAGUAAAUUAACUGCACGACGGCUCCAAGCAGAAAUCAGCUUCACGAGGUUUUUCCUCCCUUUCUCCAGGAGAAAAGAGCCAACCCAACAGCGUUAAAGCCCCAGAGAAAUCACUGUUCCCUCGUCUCUUGCACUCUUCUCCGUGCUCAGCACAUUAAACAGAGCUGUGGAAGACAGAUAUGGAAAGCAGUCCAAACUGUUUUCAGUGUUAUAAUUACAAAGUGACAGAAUAAGAGGUUUUAUCCUGGUCUUGCUCUCUUAGCUGUAAUCUGCCUUCUACUGCACCAGGACCACAGAUUCUAUCUGAAUUUACAGGCUGAAUUCUCCAUGCGUCCUUCUGCAGUGUAAAACCAACACACGCUGGAUAAAGGACUUGAAUCAGCCUAGACACCGUCUGGCAGCAAACUAUACUUAACUAUUAACAAUAUCCUCUCUGCUAAUUACAGCUUGUCUUGGCUCGAGUGAGAGCUGCAAUUCCUUUGCCUUUGGCGUGAUGGGAGGAAGAUCAACUGCACAAAAAUCAGCACCGUCUUAGAAGUGAUUCAGCACUGGAUGCUUUUUAUUUAAUUACUGAUUACCAAGUGAGCCUUGAGAACUGACUAGACACCCGCGGCGUGCCUCAGUUGCAAGGCAUUGUUUGAGCUCCCAUCACCGCCAUCCACACAAGAUCUACGCGAUGAAACCUCACUCUGCAUUCUGUUCUACCAGUUUAUAGAUAAUGGAGAGACCUGUAAUUCAAAGGUCUGUUGAUAUAAUGAGAUUAAUGUACAUGUGUUCUUCUUGCCCAUGCACAUGUGAGAAGUCUUUUUUUUUUCCAGACUUUACAAUCUCUGGGUUUUGUACUUUUGUCAGGGCAGCUUAACUGGCCUUUAAAUGAAAUUGAUCUGCCUCAGAAUUAAUACAAUAAGGAAGGUUAGCUCUGAUGUUACCACAUCCUGCAAUCUUAUUUGUGACUAAAAUGAAAACAAGCUCCAUGAACACCUUUACAGGCAGCCACAUCCCAAGAGGGAGACUUCACACUUUUGGCCUGACCAAGGUUUAUUUAUGUAAUACGCAAACAUCAACUAACA